GUGGGGAAUAUUGGACAAUGGGCGAAAGCCUGAUCCAGCCAUGCCGCGUGUGUGAAGAAGGUCUUCGGAUUGUAAAGCACUUUAAGUUGGGAGGAAGGGCAGUAAGUUAAUACCUUGCUGUUUUGACGUUACCGACAGAAUAAGCACCGGCUAACUUCGUGCCAGCAGCCGCGGUAAUACGAAGGGUGCAAGCGUUAAUCGGAAUUACUGGGCGUAAAGCGCGCGUAGGUGGUUUUGUAAGUUGGAGGUGAAAUCCCCGGGCUCAACCUGGGAACUGCCUCCAAAACUGCAUGACUAGAGUACGGUAGAGGGUAGUGGAAUUUCCUGGGUAGCGGUGAAAUGCGUAGAUAUAGGAAGGAACACCAGUGGCGAAGGCGACUACCUGGACUGAUACUGACACUGAGGUGCGAAAGCGUGGGGAGCAAACAGGAUUAGAAACCCUUGUAGUCC
rnacentral:rRNA from 1 species